rnacentral:misc_RNA from 1 species
GUAGGUGAACCUGCGGAAGGAUCAUUAACACGUAUCCAACGUUAAAAACCCCCCCGUGAACCUACAACAUACGUCUCCGCUAACGAUACCCAUGGGUAAAUCAUUGCCGAACAGUUUUGAUUCAGGGACAUCAAGCACGUUAGUGUCCUGAUAAAAGAGGCGCUGCAACAGACGGGUUCCACGCCCCAAGGAGUCAAAAGCUGUCAGCGAGUGGCAAGUGAGGGGGUUGUUAAAGUGUUCAACCUGAUUGUCAUCUUGUAAGUUGAGAGUGUCUUUUGAUUUUGAACGGGUGGGUCACUGUGGCCGACACGGCCGUGAUGGGAUUCUGGCGUCGUGCCUAUAGGUACGAACUAGCGCCCGACAUGACCUCUUGAAACGACAGGGGCGUAACCGGACCAAAUUUUUAAUCUGCCCCUUACCCUAACAGGUACUCGGGUGUCAAACGAACAACUGUUAACAAUGGAUAUCUUGGUUCUC